UACCGAGAUUGUAGUAAACUCAACUUAACUACAUUUUAUUCAUACGGCCCAUUAUGUACUUCAUGUCAUUUUUAUUUGUGAAGGAGAAUAUUUUCUAAAUUAUAAGAAUAGUGGAAUCGAAAGCAUUUUGCUCACUAAGGAAUACCAUUUUGGGACUCUACCCUCAAAAUGUACCAAAUCUAACUUGAAGGAUCACCUAAAGGAUCAUUUUACUGAAAAUGGCACAAGACAAACAUCCAUCAUUAGUUUCAAACAAGCGCAACGCUGAUGCAUUUCAGGAGCCUACUUGAAUGAAAAAGAAUAGCAGCAACUGAAGCCUAAUUAAAAAAUGCAAUCCUUUUGUUAUCUGAUAAAUAAAUGAAACCACCAUUAGUAUUUAUUAAAUGAUAUUAAAUAUAUAAAAUCAUUAGUAAACCUACCAACAAC
rnacentral:lncRNA from 1 species